AUGGAGGAGAAACGAACCAGAGGACUAGAACACGUUCGACGGGAAGGCAUUUUCCUCUGCGAAGUUUCUGGCCGGUGGAAAGACGAGGAAUUGGGGCUGUUUUACACCAAGUCAGCGGGCUAUCUCAGACCCCCAAGCUGGGGACCACUCACUGUGGAGAGGGAGGGCGGGAGCGCGAGGGGAGGACAGGGAAGAAGACCCCCGUCCGCCCCCAAAUUCCUAGCUGGAGGAGCGAGUACGAGAAGGACGUCGCGAAGGUCUUUCUACAAGACCCGGAGGUCGGGGACGUCCUCGUGCUCUCCCAUCCCUGACAAGUCUCCUUCCGGGGGUCCCGACGAGGCGUGCAGGCCUGGCUGCCCCUCAGCACCCGGGCCUCAGGUGUUCCGCCGCGCCUCCCCUCAGCCCUGCCUCGCCACGCCGCCUCCGGGGAGCGCAACAUCCGCGCACAAAGAGGCUCUCGGGGCCCGAGCGCCCGGCCCCAGCGGAACCGCCGCCGGGCUCGAGCCGCAGACGGGGAGGCACAACACCAGAGCCUCCCCGCCCCGGGAGAACCUUUGGUCCCGAAGGUCGUUCCGUCCUGCUCAGCCCGGUCAGCACGGCCCGUCCCUCCCGCGUCCGCGCUCACCCAGCACCAGCCGCGCUAUGUCCGAAGGUAACAACAUGACCGAAGCCGCAGCGGGAACCGCUACAGGAGACGAGACUCAGGUACAAGCCAACAGAGCAGCGACAGCUCCUGCGCCGCAUCUCCCGGUUCCAGUGGCGGUACUGAACCCGCGGCAAUUUGUCCCGCCUCUUUCACCCCGCGUCCGCCAAUCGCUUUCGCGGAAGAAAGAAAGGCGCCGAAAUGAAACCCGCCUCCGUUCCCCUCGGAACUGUCGUCACUUCCGCCCUGAGAGUCGGACAGGCGGGGCCGAAGGCGUCGAGGAGGUGGGAGGACGGCGCAGCGGCCGGCGCCAGGGGCCAGGCGGGGAGUGCAGGCUCGCACGCCAUUGGCGAGAAGCGCGCAGGCGCGUUUGCUCCGACGAGCCAAAUAUUUUGAAGCCAGAGCGCACCGAGCGCACAGCGUGCGGGGGUCGGCGCGCAUGGGCAGAUGGGGCCUGCUCUCGGGUGACCCCGGCUUCUUCCGUGGGAGACCCGGACUGCGGGGUCACGCAGCGUUUGAACCGGAAGCGGGAAGACUGGGUUUCCAGCUGGCUGGAGCCUCUGUGGCCGCGGGGGCGUGGAAGGCAAGUGGAACCGGGAUGUAGGCUGCAGUCGCCGCCGCUUUGGCUGUGCGAGGGCACCGUUAGGGGCGUGGGAAGCAGGCGGUGGCUUCUGCGUCCCGGGACUGGAGCCGCUCCGUGCCGGCGCCCCGACGACCGGACUCUCCCGCCCUCCCUCUCUCCGAGCCGCUACCGGGCUUCGCCUCGACCCUUCGGAGUGCCCCCCCCCCCCGCCCCCCUGUCUCUCUCCUGUCCCUCCUCUCUCUCUCCUUCUUCCUCGCGGGUUUCGCCUCGAUUCUUCCAGAUGCCCUGGUGGGCCCUCCUGCGCGUCCCCUUUCCCUGCCACCGACGGCCCAGAUGGAACUAG
ensembl:lncRNA